CUGAUCUCUCGGCUCCACUGAGCGUCGCUGACACGCUGAUGUCAGCAAAACUUCUGAGGUGUCGUCCAAUUAGAGACGACGGAGGAUCCGCAGCUCAGGGAGGAGUUAGAGAUAACAUUUACAGGGAAAUAAGCUGUUUGCUGCGACGCACACUCGGAGGAUUCACAUUUGAUGAUGCUUCAAAUCACCUUAAAGCAUGAAACGCUCCACACCCUCUCCCUCUCAGCUCCUGGUGCGGUGGCUGGUAUUUUUAGACGGCUCGUCAAGGACAAUCCCAGCACUGUGGCCAAACAGAUAAAGCUCUGCAAACGGCUUUACUUCAGUAUCGUAACGGUUCUUCCAGCUCUGGGUGAUAACGGCAGCUCAACGCUCGGACUGUGGACAGAGAGCAGAU